rnacentral:rRNA from 1 species
GACGAACGCUGGCGGCGUGCUUAACACAUGCAAGUCGAACGGAAAGGCCCUGCUUUUGUGGGGUGCUCGAGUGGCGAACGGGUGAGUAACACGUGAGUAACCUGCCCUUGACUUUGGGAUAACUUCAGGAAACUGGGGCUAAUACCGGAUAGGAGCUCCUGCUGCAUGGUGGGGGUUGGAAAGUUUCGGCGGUUGGGGAUGGACUCGCGGCUUAUCAGCUUGUUGGUGGGGUAGUGGCUUACCAAGGCUUUGACGGGUAGCCGGCCUGAGAGGGUGACCGGCCCACUUGGGACUGAGAUACGGCCCAGACUCCUACGGGGGGGAGCAGGGGGGAAUUUUGCACAAGGGGCGGAAGCCUGAUGCCGCAACGCCGCGGGCGGGAUGACGGCCUUCGGGUUGUAACCCGCUUUCGCCUGGGAAGAAGCGGGGGUGGCGGUAAUGGGUAAAGAAGCACCGGCUAACUACGU